AAGGAGUUAGCCAAGUCAUAUAAAUGAUUUUAUGACUUCUUUUGUUGAUAUGGUACGGUAGUUGAAACUUGAGAGUAGACAAAAGAAGUUCAGAAGGCACAAGCAGAAUUGCAAACCUCGCUUUGACGUUUAGCCUUUCCUGACCCACCUUGUAAGCGUUCCCCUGACAGGUCCAAUGUCAGUCGAAAUUUACAAUUGGAAAAUGAUAGAUUAUGCGUUGCAUCCGCGAAGGCUACAGUUAUUUGAAACGAAAUGCAUACCAUCCUAAGAACAGAGUAGAACGUUUCUUCUAAAAUGGUCUCUCUCUCUGUCUCUCGGCUUGAAUAUGCUUCGAACGUUCAUUCGCUUAUUAUCCUAAUGCCAUCCCCAGCCAGCUCUCUUUUGUUUUUCACGCCAAAAUCGAGCCGGCAUUCCAUUGCUUGAAGGCCAUUUUUGUCAAACCAAAGGUCCAGCGAAAUUGUCUUUCGAUACAGUCAGCCACUUGCAUCAGUACAUCAACAGACGCUACCGCAUUUGAACGACAGCAAUAAAAUGAAAAACCUAAAAAAAAUUUUAAGUUAAUUUAUAUACACUAUCAAUAUGUACAUUUUACUAUGAUUAAAUAUAUGACACACGUACACCUAACAAUAAUAAUACAUAUGCCAUCAAUGUGCAUAAAAAAUUAAUUCAGUUUUUUUAAUUGUAAAAUGUUUUCGAAAUGG
rnacentral:lncRNA from 1 species